UGGAGAUUCAUGGUCCUUGAGGUUCCUUCCAACCCCGGCCGUUCUGUGAUUCUGUGAUUCACUGAGCAAAGAGCCAGCAGUCCGUGCUGCUCCGUGUGCUGAGACGGGUGGUAAGGAGCCUUUGUGGGGAGAUACAAAUGCGAGAUGCUGAUCAAUCAGUUUGAUCAGGGCGGUGCUGCCAGGCUGUGGCAGUGAGCUGGAGGUGCACAAGGCCUGGCUGCCAGCAAGGGCGGCCGAGGAGGUGUGGAGCAGCUGGGUGAGGCACUGGGCUCUGUGUCAUGGUCAGGGUGAGGCUUUACAAACAAGGCUUUCAGAGUUCACAGUUCACAGUGCUUGUUUGUCAGUCUUCCCUUCCCUGUUUGUAUUUGGGGUUUGAGAGCCAGUCUGUAACUAUCACUGGAAUAGUGCUUUUUCAGAAGGAUUUAAUUGCUUUUCCCUUUUCCCCCAGUGCUGGGUGGUUGCUGCAGUUUGUGGCUCAGCAGGGGUUUGGUUGGCUGGAGGGGUUCUGUACCCACCCCAUUUCCUGGCCCUUUCACAACUUCCUUCCCUGAGCCUCAUACCGUGCAGUCACUGAGAUUUUCAAAACAAUUUUACAUAGAUUUAAGAAGCCUACCACCAACCUGGGGGACUGGAGAUCUUUUCUUUUAGAAACCUCCAGCAGCCCUCUUGGGUGCCUGGUGCAGCCAGUGAGCACACAAAGCUCGUGCUAAGCAUCUCUGCAGUGGCAGAAGCAAUGUACAGGUCACUGAAAGUACUGCAGGUUAAAGAAAUAAUAAAGGGGAGCUGGGUAAAGAAACCCCAGGUUUGUAUCGGUUCUCAUGGAGGCGUAUGUUUUUCAAUUCAGUAAAGUUGAGCAAUGUGUUGUCCCCAUAGCAGCAUAUUAAAAAAAAAAAAACAACAAAAAACAAAGUCUGUAGCAUCUGAUGAGCUAGUACCUGAUGUCUCCAGGAUGGUACAGUGGAGCUACAUUAAUAAAUCAUAGAAUGUCUUAGGUCAGAAGAUAUGUUCAAGAUAAUCUAGCUCCAAUCCCCCUGCCAUGGGCUGGCAGCCCAGAGCCCCAUCCAGCCUGGCUUUGAGCACCCCCAGGGAUGGGGCACCCACUGCUCUGUGGCCUUGCUGCCCUCUGAGAAAAGAAUUGCUUCCUAACUUCCAAUUAAAUCUUUAAUCUAACGCUUUAUUUUGUAACACCACCAACAGGAGGGAAAGCCUGUGUUGUCACCUCCCCAGAACCAUACCCCACUGCGCACUGUAGACAACUUAAACCCAUCAGCACAGCAGUUAAUAAGUUCAUGCUUUUUUGCCAGGAAGCAGCGUGUUGUUGGAAAAUGAAGGCAGUCCAUAACUGCUGGCUGAAUCAUGGAUGUGAGUACAUUAAUGAGUCUAAUGUGCCCUUCAGCCCCGAGUCAUAUCUGGGAGCUCUUUAAGUUGACUACGUGGACAUAACUACUGGCAUCAAAACGAACACUGAAAUACCCAUCUUUGGUUUCAAGAAUUCGUGCGACGGCCUGAAAUCACAUGGAGUGUUUGCAACACCAGUGCUGAGCACAGGGUGCCAGGAGGCAUUGUCAGGGUCCCCACCAGCCCCAUUGCUGGCCGUGGCUUUGGGGCAGAACGAGUCCCCAUCUCACCUGAGCAAAGCAGAUAGUCCUGGGAUGGUGCAGCAGCGUAUGGCAGCUCCCAAAUCUCCGGUGUCUGUCCUGCACUCCUUUGGUAUCUACACCAUUGCAGCACCUUGCAAUGCUGCUGCAUUUUUCCCUACUUCUGAUUGCAGGUGCAGACUCCAAAGCUGAGCAGUGAACUGGGAAGCAGAGGAUGGGCAAAGAUGAAAUGAAGGUAACACCAGUUUCCAAGUAAACCUGGUGGGAAAGGAGCUGUAGGGUAUCCAGAAACCUCCAUCCUAGUGGGGAAGUGAACCACCUCCAUCCCGAACAUCCCCUGAGGAUUUUACAGUGCAUUCCUCAACUCUUGCCAGUGAAGCCACUGCUGGUGUCAAGCUUAAAGUCAUUGAAGGCUUUACCAAGAAAAGAUUCAAAUCAGUGAGCCUUCCCCACCAUCUGAUCGUGUAUUGCUGAACAGUAGUUGGGUGCAUUUUCAAACUGGACAUCAUGCUUAACAUCCUUUUGGUUCCAGUCUGUGUUCCAGCACAUUCAAAACUCACACUUGUUUCUCCCGUUGAGUGGCAUCAAGACAAAGCAAGUGGAAUUUAUCAGGUCUUACCAUCAUCAGACAACGCCGAGCAGGCAGCAGACAUUCAGAUGCAGAUCACAGAGCACGUUUUGUCUGCGUGCACGUUAUGUGAUUGAGUGAACUGGUUUGAGAAGUGGCAUUAAACGUGUCCAGCUGAUACCAACCCUGGCAGUUAAUGCACCAACCUUUGAACUGCAGCAGGCAGCUUCAGAGGAAGGGCAGGGCUGGUGGCAGCACCAUCACUGCUGUUUGCUCAUACAGCUCUGGCUGCUCUCUGUCUUUCCUGUCCUCUGAGUAAAGACACAGGACACAAGUUGGGACUGAGAAGCAGUUUUUGUUGUGCUCUGGCUCUGUCUCAGCCCCCUCCAUGGGCCAGCAGUGCCACCUACCAGCAUUUGGAGUGGAGAAAUGAGCAACCAGGCUUGGUGUUAUCCACACCAAGCAAUCACAACAUGCUUUUAAAAAGCAUUAUGCUCUGCACGUGUGCUGGCACACACACCUGCCUUGGCUCUGUCCUGAGAACAUUGCCAUCACUGAUAGCAUUUUCAUCUGGAAGUAAAAAACUGGGUUAAUGUCAAAUGGAAUUAAGUGACAUUGAGCUUGGGAGAGGUGCCCUGAGCUCACAGCACGGCCCUGUGCUUUGGUGAGAGGCUCUUACACCCAGUGCCAUCAGCAGAAGGGCAGACCUGAGCAGUUUGUUCUUUACAUCGCACACCUCUCCAGAACCAGUGCUCCACGAUGUGCUUCUCACAGAUUAUCACCACUGAGCAAUUUGUAUCUGCAGGCACGCCAGCAAAAAGGCAAAGGAUCAAAGCUCCAGCCUGGAAUAAAUCAGAGUGAGCCCCUAGCACGGAGUGUGAGCAGAAACGAGCAACAGGGGAGAUGGAAAAGAACAGGCUGUGUCCUGACAGGCAGACCUCAGCAAGACAGAUUUAGCUCUCGUUCAGCCAGGAGGAUGUUUGUCACCGCGAGGACAGGCCUAAAUUAUUUUUAGUGGAUGCAUCAUGAGCCUGCAGCUUUAAAGGACAGUGAAAGAAAGAUCAGCUUGUCCAGUGAGGGCUUAUCCUGCUCUCUCAGAGCACUUGCAGCCCUGGGAAGCUGAGGAAUGUGUCGGUACAUACGAGACACCAUGUGCUACUAGAAGUACAAUGCCUGCUUUUAUUGCUGCUAGCUGUGACACCAGCAGUCAGCAAACCCUGACAUCACACGUGCUGUCCUUACCCUGGGCCACGCACACAGCAGCGUGCCUGCAGGCUGAGCCCAACAGAGCAUUUCUCAAUAAAACAGUCUGGAGAUCCAAAAA